ACCAUCUGAAACUUUGGUUCUCAAAGAGCAAGUCGUCCCUUCCCCUCCCCUUCCCUUUUUAUUAAUUUUGUGUGUUUUUUUUCUUUUUCGGCACUUUUUUAUUCAUUUAAUCUUAGCAUUUCUUUUAAUUCUUCAAUUGAAAUUUUAAAAAAGAAAAUUAGGAACACUCGCUUUUUUUUUAAAUUGUCCCGUCCCCUUUUACUUUUUACGUUUCAUAUAUAGACACAACUUUAGACAAAUAUUUUGAAAAAAUGUUAGAAAUACUCAAAUAGAAAGAAGGAAAAUGGAUUUAAACGAAGAACAGCAAAGAAGACAGAAAGAUCAAAGGAGGAGAGAAAAAACAUACAGGAAGAUAAAAAGAUCAGAGAUCAUCACAGAAGAACAGAAAGAGAGAACAAAUACAGUUGGGAACAAUCUUGAUAGAUAAGAAGAUGUUGUAACAGUCAAAACACACUUCAAACAAAGCUUAGAAAAACUGCAG